UCGUAAGAAUGCUUUGAAAGAAAGACAAUUUUGAAAGCAACUUAGAGGUUGUGAGGCUGGGUGCAAGGGAAUGAGCUAGGAGAUCCUUGCAACUGAUUGUUUGCAGGAGCUGUUUUCUGGCCGUAAAAUAGAGUCUGAGCACUGGAAAUCCAACAAGGGGAAUUAUAUUCAAGAGACUUCCUGAGGCCAGAUCAUGAGACUUGACAAGGGGUUGAAUGUGGGCUGAAGAGAGCAGUGCUGUGACUGGGAAGAGGUUUCCUUACUGUUACUCCAAACAGAGCUUCAGAGUCGCUGUGGAAUCGGAGAAAAUGACUGAUUUAAACAUUGACAUUAUUUUAUUUACUGCUUUAUAAUGAGGACCUAAUUCUUACUGAAAAUAAUCAGCAUCGUUUUGAGUGGCAAAAGGCCGGAAGCAACUUCAAUAUCCCAGAGAGGGGCAGUCUGAAGCAACCGUGAGCCACCUUUCCAAUGGACUAGUGAACAGCUGCAAAAACAGGAGCAAAAGGAAAGAUGUUCUGCGUGACCACUGCAGUGCCAUUUCUAACCUGGCAAUGAGACUGCUGUAAACAGCUUGCCCGCAGUGUCUCUAUGCAACGGACGCUGACGUCUAGCUCUCCUGGUUUGUGGGCAGCUCCCCUCUGGGGCCUGCACCCUUCUCUUUUGAUCCUGUUGUCCUCUGAGGCCUCCUUGUCUGCAUCCAGCUGAUGGAAUGGAACAGAGGCAUGGUAAAGGCAGAGUUACUUCCGAAAGCCUUUGAUCUGAAAGUGCGGCGUGCCUCCUACUCCCAUUCUACAUGAAAGAACUGGUCAUAUGUCCAUAUUCAGAUUCAAGGAAGGCUGGGAAAUGCGAUUCUGGCUGAGCAGCUGCUUUCGAGCUGUGACUGUUUCCUAGGAAAAAUGACAGUAUGUUUGCCGAACACCUAGCUGUCUCUGCUACCAUCUCUUUACUUAUCAUUACAUGAAAAAGCAAGAUGCAUAAUAUUGUUACUGUGUCGGCUAUUGUCUAAAGAGGAGUGGCGUAUGCAUUUGUACUUGUAUAUGCAUUAAAAAAUCUAGUACCCACGCUGACUUAUGGAGAGGACUGUCGGGCAUUAGUAAAUGGGAGAUGAAGCAGAAGAGAAACUUCGCUACACUGGAUACGCUGGUGUGUUUUUGAGACGCUACCAAUGUAAAUUACCUGCUCAAAGAACAAAAUGAAUUUAAGACAUUAAAAAAAGAGAGAGAAUGCCAUCAAUCUGGGCAGAAGGUAAGGAACAUGACUCCCAGACACACCGUAGACCCAUCUGGCUCGGGGCCAUCCCAUCCCACAAGCAGCGUGGGAGUGGAUGGAGCCAUCUGGGAUCCCCGUCAGGAGCUGCAGUCUUGAAGACUGUGAGCAGAGCGUAGGCGAAAAUGUACCAGAACUGAUGUCACGAGAGGAAACCUGCUUUUCUUUGCUCAGAGAAAAGAGGCAGAAGUUUAUAGAAAGAAAAUCUCACUUUGCGUUAUUUGUGAAAUAUACAUAAGCAAAGCAGGUGUAUUUUCAUAGCUUUUAUGUAAAUAUAGGCUUCUUAUUGACCCCAGUGGAAAGGAGGUAUCUCCACCGCAGAAAGUGAAACAUGGAUGUCACUUCAUACGGUAAAUGUCUCCCACAGCGUCCGCCUCUGGAUUUAGAAAAAAGUAGGGUAUCAAUAGACAGCUAAAGAAGGAGUUGCUGGCUGGCUACUGCUUACAAGCAGCCAUGUGUCAAGGAUAUUUCACCCCCCUCUUCAAGAAUUUUGCCUACAGGACUCCCAGGAGCACAGGAGCCCACUACAAGGAAGGUUAUACAGGGAAGGCUCCCGUGAUAACAGCAACAGCUCCAAAGACAGUGGCUGACUCCCUCUGCAGUGCCAUCAGUUCAUGCAGCCCCAGCUGCUAAACGAGAGUGAGUUUCCCACGAGAAAGACGUGGAGAGGGUCUCAGGAGGCACGCCCUGGACAUUUCUGGGAGUCAGGCUUUCAGAGGGGACUGGAAGAAUGUUUUUCACAGUUUGGCAAAGGAUUGAGUCUUGAGUACAGUUGAUGGGUUGUCUCUGCCCCCAUCAAUAUUGUGAUUGUCCAAGAGAUAAAAUAAAGGACUCUCUUUACCACAG